UUGUUGAUUUCGGAGAAUGGGACUGUAUGGGUAAUGAAUUUUUCCACUUCAAGCUCCUGCAGCAACAUUCAUUUGACAUGAAUCAAUCAAUUAAGUAAUUAAUUAAUGCAUAAUCUUUGUCAUCACCAAAGCCAUUACUCUUGACCGAAUUGAAAGUGGAAAGUUGAAAGUUGAAACUACUCGUUGUACCUUGCUCAUAUAUUUUUCUACAACCGAAGGAAGGUCAGAACGAGGCUUGUAGUUUCCAAAGAAGGUGCCCUUAAGAGUUCUUUCAUUCAACAAAUUCAUGGGGUGCGUCUUGAACACAGCAUCUUUGUGAGGAACGCCCACAAGAACAGCCACACCCCAGCCCUGAAAAUAUCAGGAGUCAAUUCCGUCUGUGUUAGCAGGAUUUCCAGAAAAUUAAAAACCGUUAAUUAGGACCAGAUAUUGAAUGUACAUACAUCGUGGACACAUUCGAAAGCUGAAAUCAUGGCAUCAAUAUGUCCAGUGCACUCCACACUUCUGUCCACUCCUCCAUUCGUCAUUUCGGCAAUUACCUGUUUAGCAAUGAUGUGAAAUUCCUAUUGAUUAGUACAUUAUUACCAGAUGCAAUUAUGACAUAAGAUAUUUAACUUUUGUGCUUAUUGUUUAAGAAUUUAAUUUGGAGACAAACCUCUUGAAUUGGUUUAUUGUAGUCUUUUGGGUUCACAAAUUCAGUCGCACCGAACUUCUUUGCUGAAACGACCAAGAUGGGGAUCUCAGUAUGAUAUCAAUUUAUGGUCUCUUUUCCUAAUUAUUAAAAAACCAAAAGCACAAUUUGUUUACCUUCUUCAAAUCUAUUUGAAUUCAGAUCAACACCAAUAAUCCUUGAAGCCCCGGCAAUCCUGGCCCCUUCAGCAGCCUGAUCAAUCACAUUGAAAAAACAUAAUAUGAAUAUGCAUUGUCAUUUGCAAAUUUACCUGAAACAAACACAAAGACAGUUCAUUUAGGCAGAUGAAGAUUGCUUACAGCGAGGCCUACAGCGCCCAAUCCAAAUACAGCCACUGUUGAGCCUUUUGCAGGUUUUGCAACAUUAAGUGUUGCGCCCAGGCCUGGAAAACAAAGCCACUGUUAAAUUGUGAAUCCUAACCGAAAUUAAAAACAGUAUUAAAAAUGUCGUGCUCCAAUAAGUACCCGUCGAAAUUCCACAGCUGAGAACACAGACUUUGUCAAGAGGAGCCAACGGAUUGAUCUUGGCAAGACAGCCAACAUGAAUAACGGUGUACUCACUGAAGGUUGAGGUUCCAACGAAAUGAUAAAUAGGCUUGCCAUUGAUGGAAAAUCUCGAUUUCCCGUCGUUAAGCAUGACGCCUCUGUCAGUAUUGAUCCUGAGAAGAUCACACAUGUUGCUUUCUUCUGACUUGCAAUGAGCACACUCCUUGCAUUCUCCGGUGAACACAGGCAGAACAUGAUCCCCUGGUUUGAGAUCAGUCACCCCCUCGCCGACGCUCUCCACAAUCCUGCAAAAAUUUCAACAGAUAUCAUAUCAAAUCACAAUUGAAGAAAGGUAGCUAGAUCAUGAAAAGUAAUCCAUUUAUGUCAUAGAAAUCAAACUGAGUAUUCACUUACCCUCCUGCCUCAUGGCCAUAAAUUCUAGGAAAUAAAGGGUUCUGUCCCUGCAUUUUAAUAAUUAAAAAAAAAAGAUAUAUUAGUAUAAAAGUGUUUAACUUGUACGAGUUCUAAAGAAAUACAGACUUUCAUUCUAAAUAAAUUUUACCUUGGCUUCCCAGAAGUAGACAUCAGUGUGGCAAAGGGAAGUAAAGAGGAUCUUCACACGAACUUCAUUAGCCUGCGGCGGAGCCACCUCAACUUCUUCCAUCACCAGUGGCUUCCCUGCUUCCCAAGCUACCGCGGCUGCAACCACAGUAACCAAAAAAAAAAACAAUUAUUCGAAUAUAUAUAGGCAUGCAAAGAUCAAAAGGCACGAAAUUACAACCAUUUUUCAAAUACCUCUACAGCGUAUGACUUGUCCAACAGUGCUUGACAUCUUUUAGGAGAAACUGAGAACUGAAAGAUUUUUUAGAACUCUUUAAAGCUUGCUUUAACGUUUGCUCUUGGUGGGAAUUUAUGGCAGUUUGUCAAGGUAUUUAUAGCCCUACGAAACCAAAUUAAAGAAGAGGUAUCCCUGAUUUAAUAAUGGAUUCUUGUGCUGUUUAACUAUUUAUGAUAUUAUUGUAAUAAUUGUUUAGACUUUCAGAUAUAAACUUUUGCCUCAAUACAGGAUACACACACAAGAGGGGCAAACCCAAAACCAUUCCCAGAUUUGUUUCCCCGGAUUUUAGUCCCUCGUUUUACUGUUGGUUUACAGUAUUCUGUUUGGUAUAUCAUAAUUCAAUAUUAAAAGAUAAAAGACAGCUGGGAUUUUACUAUUAAAAUAUUUAUGAGUACGUUCUCCAUUCUAUUUUAUUUUAAUUUAUGUUUAUUAUGAAUGUCAACGUUAAAUUCUUUUUUAAAGCCUUUUUUUUUUUUAAGUAUGCGACUUGCGGAAUCAAAACCCUGUUACAAUUGACUCCAGUUUCUGUGUGUUCGUCCUGGUUUUUCUUUGCAGCUGUUUUACCAUUUUCAAAGUCGAAAACAACUAAUGGUUUUAGUCUUAACUUAAAACACAUCAAACAGAUAUUGAAAAAAUAAUAAUAAUAUAAUAAUAAAUAUAAAAUAAAUUUGAUUUCAAACAACUAGGGGGACUGCCAUUUUCGUUUUAAUUACUAAAAUUAUCAUUCAAUCACUAAAGUCGGAGCCAAAAAUUGACUUUGUAACCCUUCCUCUUGUACACAAACAUAAAAUUCAUUAAAAUACAAAUUUCCUUUUUGAAAAUUUGAACUUUUUAUUUUUUAAAACGAUGUUUAAGAAAUAAAUGAGAUGGUACGGGGUUUUUUUUUUUAACUUAAUUACUUAAUUAACUUAAUUUUAAUAGUUAAGUCAUUAAGUUCAUUUGUUUUUUUAAUUUCAUAAAAAAAUUUAAUCAUUCAGUCAAUAAGUUAUUUAAACAAUUUGUCUUACCUUUUUGCUUAAUCUAAAAAUUAAAAAAAGAUAUUCUACCUUGAGAAAUAUUGUGUAAACUUAAAAAAGAAAGAAAGAAAGAAAGAAAGAAAGAAAACAAUCAAUAAACUUCUUCAUAAACUUUUCACUCUCAUUAAUUCCAAAUGACUAUUGACUACAGAUCCUUGUUUAUAAAAGAUAACAAAUGACAGUAAUUUUAUAUUUAUUUGUAUAUAAUGAUGAUUCUUACUGUAUGUACAUGUCGUAAUCCUUUUGAUUAUUGUCACAUCUGCAUGACGAUAUUGAUUCCUAUUACAUGUGCUAAGUGUAUUGAUAAUUUAAGAGUCACAAAACGAAUAAAAUUUCAAAUCGAAUGGUAAACAAAUUUGGUCAAAAUUCUACUGAUUCGGAUUUGAUUUAUUUAUUAAAUGAAUUGAACUUUUAAGAUUCAGAUUCGAUUCAUUUAUUAAAUGAAUAUUCGGUUCGAUUCGUUUAAUGGAAUUAAUAAACGAAAUGAAUUGAAUUCGGAUAUGUUUAUUAUUCGUUUAUCCUAUUACGAAUCCAUAAUGAAUUGAAUCAAAUCAGGAUUCGUUUACAAUUCAUUUAAAAAAAAUGUAAUUAAUAAACAAAAGUAAGCAAAAUAAAAUAUGAAAAAGACACAAAUUUAAUAUCCUACAAUAAAACACAAAUAAUCCAAAUCAUAUUCUAGGAUUAAAUACACAGUCAUCCAAAUUACAAUAUUAACCUUUAAUUUUAAAAAAUUUCAAAUAAAUUUAAGGACAAAAAAGCAAUUUAAUUAAACAAAUAAUAAAUGAAUUUUAAACGAAUCAACCUAUAUUUAAUUUGUUUAUAACCCGUUUAUUAAACGAAUAAAUGAAUCAAUAUCUUCAAAUCCGGAUUCCAUUCGUUUAAUUAGCGAAUCAAAUCGAACUCACUCAUUUAUUAAAUGAAUCAAUUUUUUCAAACAUUUAAUUCGCAUCAAAUUGAAUCGAAUAAGCGAAUCUUGAUCCAUAUUGUCUCUUCCAAAUUUGAUAUUUUAUCACAUACACAUCACAUAUUAAUACUGUUGAUUCUAGCCAAAUGUCUUGAUCCUUCUCAUAUGUUGAUACAAAUGAUGUUAAUUCCUUAUACUAAUAAUGCAUAUGACAAUUCUUUAUAUCAAUUACAUGCAAACGAUUUCAUACUUCUGGCAUAGAAGACCAAUUGAUGUCUCAUAUUUUAUAUGUAUACGAGGGGCAAGUUUAGUGGACAUAGUUUCAUACAUAAUUUUAAGCACGGCUUUUAAACUAUUGGAUUAAAGUUUAGCUAAGGGUUAAUAUUAAAAUUGACAUAUAAUUUUAUAAUUUUAAAAAUUAAUUAAUUAAUUAAUGUGGAUCCCACCAUAUUAAAAUUCUUCUUUCUUUUUCAUCGCAUCAAUUUUUUAUUUUUGUCCCCAAAAGCUUUCCAACUCCAUCAACCUUCCAUUAGAUAAUUUUCUUAUAGUAUAAACAUCCAUUUAAAUUAGAAUAAAAAAAAUUAUAUAUGUUAAUUUUAAUUGUUAGACGGUGAAUCAAUCUAAGUCGUAUUUGGACAAAUUAUUGAAAAAUUUCGCUCUACUUUGAUAAGAUUUUAACAUGCCAAACAGUGGGCUGCUGUAUGACAGAACUUGGAAAAACCAUGUUGAGUUCCACUCCACAAUUGUUAGAGAUCAAUUAAUCUCCCAAUCAAUUUAUUUUACCGUGUUCAUUGUAUCAGAUUCAAUCACCAGAGGCAUUGGACCUACUUCCCAAGCUUUACCUAUUAUAUAAUAUUGUCACGAAUUUUACUUAAUACUUACUGAUGUCUAAUUUUAUUUGUAAUCUUAAUUUUAUCUCUUCUUCUUUCUACCAGUACCAGGUCUUAAGCCAUGGUGGCUGAUUAUAUUAACUGGCUCAAACAACAGUCGACCAGUUAAGCCAAGGGGAGACCUAGUGGUUAUUCAUACUCUUGGUUGUUAUUAUUAUUAUUUUUUAUAAAUAAAAAAAAAAAAUCGAUUAUACUCGUGAUUAUGAGUUUGAGAGUUGCGGAGAAAUAAGUGUGAAAGAGAAGAGGAAAAAAAGUGGAACUUAGGAAGAGAAAAAUAAAAGAGGAGUGAAACGUGAGAGAGAGAGAGAGAGAGAGACUUCAUAAUUAUUAAUUAAAUAAUUUAAAUAAUAAGCUAAUUGGUGGUGGAUGGUACCGAUGGAAUUGUAAAAAUAGAUAUUGUCACUCCUGAUAUUAUCAUAGGAAUAGCUACAAUUUGCAAGAUUAGAAUAACCAUGAACAACAUCGUAAUGUCUAAAAACGUAUACAUUUAUUUAUUCAUUGCCAUUGACCAACUGAAAGACACUACACAAGAACAUCUUUAAAUUAUGGCCACAAAUUAAUCAAAAUAAUUUAAUUUUACAAAGCAUCGUUGCGUACACAUGACAUUAGAGCAUAUGUGAUUAGGACCACUGUUAAGAAACAUCUCAAACUUGUUCAUGCAAUAAAUUCUACUCUACUCUUCCAUCCGGAUGAUGCAUCGGAGACCUUCUCCUCUAAGCAUGUACUCAAAGGCCUUGUUGAUUUCGGAGAAUGGGACUGUAUGGGUAAUGAAUUUUUCCACUUCAAGCUCCUGCAGCAACAUUCAUUUGACAUGAAUCAAUCAAUUAAGUAAUUAAUUAAUGCAUAAUCUUUGUCAUCACCAAAGCCAUUACUCUUGACCGAAUUGAAAGUGGAAAGUUGAAAGUUGAAACUACUCGUUGUACCUUGCUCAUAUAUUUUUCUACAACCGAAGGAAGGUCAGAACGAGGCUUGUAGUUUCCAAAGAAGGUGCCCUUAAGAGUUCUUUCAUUCAACAGAUUCAUGGGGUGCGUCUUGAACACAGCAUCUUUGUGAGGAACGCCCACAAGAACAGCCACACCCCAG
rnacentral:lncRNA from 1 species